rnacentral:rRNA from 1 species
GUGUCAGCAGCCGCGGUAAUACGGAGGAUGCAAGCGUUAUCCGGAAUGAUUGGGCGUAAAGCGUCCGCAGGUGGCUAUGUAAGUCUGCUGUUAAAGAGCAAGGCUCAACCUUGUAAAGGCAGUGGAAACUACAUGGCUAGAGUGCGUUCGGGGCAGAGGGAAUUCCUGGUGUAGCGGUGAAAUGCGUAGAGAUCGGAAAGAACACCAACGGCGAAAGCACUCUGCUGGGCCGACACUGACACUGAGAGACGAAAGCUAGGGGAGCGAAUGGGAUUAGAUACCCCAGUAGUCCUAGCCGUAAACGAUGGAUACUAGGCGUGGCUUGUAUCGACCCGAGCCGUGCCGUAGCUAACGCGUUAAGUAUCCCGCCUGGGGAGUACGCACGCAAGUGUGAAACUCAAAGGAAUUGACGG